rnacentral:rRNA from 1 species
UGGGGAAUAUUGCGCAAUGGGCGAAAGCCUGACGCAGCAACGCCGCGUGAGUGAUGAAGGCCUUCGGGUCGUAAAGCUCUGUCGGAGGGAACGAAUGCUCCUGAAGUUAACAGCCUCAGGAGGUGACGGUACCCUCAAAGGAAGUGGCGACUAACUCUGUGCCAGCAGUCGCGGUAAUACAGAGGCCACAAGCGUUAGUCGGAAUCACUGGGCUUAAAGGGUGCGUAGGCGGGCCCGCAAGCGUCUUGUGAAAUCCCAUGGCUCAACCAUGGAAUUGCAGGGCGAACUGCGGGUCUUGAGGCAGGUAGGGGCCGGAAGAACAGUAGGUGGAGCGGUGAAAUGCGUAGAUAUCCACUGGAAUGCCGAUGGGGAAGCCGUCCGGCUGGGCCUGUCCUGACGCUGAGGCACGAAAGCGUGGGGAGCAAACAGGAUUAGAUACCCCUGUAGUCCCUGAGCGGGCUGGCAAGGCGCAU